rnacentral:lncRNA from 1 species
CUUAAUAUUGUAUUUAGCAAACCAAAUCCAUUGAUGCUAAUUUUUAACCUAAAGAAAAAAGGUGUAAGCAAAAGGUCCUGAUACUGAUUCAUUGGAAGCAUUGCGUCCAGUAUGGUGCAGGCUCUUGAAUGUGCGACACGUUAAACAUAGGUUAGCUCCUUCAUGCCACCCACAUCACCUCAUCACCUUUUUCUCUUUCAGUUUAUCAUGAUUGUGGACAUUCCGGUGAGAUAUCUUAGGCUAGAUAUAUGACAUUAUAAGGGGUUUGGUUUGUUAUGAGGUGAAAUUUUGGGUAAAUUAGAUAAAGUGGCCGUUUCUAAAAAAUAAUUAUGGAUUUAAGUCGUUUUUUUUAAUUUAAAGAAAUGGAUUAAUUUUUAAG